rnacentral:rRNA from 1 species
UACGGAGGGUGCAAGCGUUAUCCGGAUUCACUGGGUUUAAAGGGUGCGUAGGAGGGUAGGUAAGUCAGUGGUGAAAUCUUCGAGCUUAACUCGGAACUGCCGUUGAUACUAUCUAUCUUGAAUACCGUGGAGGUGAGCGGAAUAUGUCAUGUAGCGGUGAAAUGCUUAGAUAUGACAUAGAACACCAUUGCGAAGGCAGCUCGCUACACGAAUAUUGACUCUGAGGCACGAAAGCGUGGGGAUCAAACAGG